UGCGUUUCCCAAAAGCAUCGUAAGCCUAAGUAAAUCAUAGUCCCAGUGCCACCAAUGGAGCUACAAUCAACUUAGGCUUACAAAGCUUUUGGGAGUGUUACUUCUACUAUCUGAAAAGGCAGCUUUGCAAGCCAUACCUAAAUGGCCGAAUGCUAGCAGUGAACAGUGUUCCGCAAAGGCCAUUGCCAUAGUAACUUCUGCAUUUUAGCAGUUAUCCUUCCUUAACUGGUAAUGUCGACUGCUUUGCGGGGUUAUAUGGUUUUGAUUUAUUUAUAUGCUUUGCUGUAGUACGAUGUUUUUUGAUGUUAUACAUUUUUGCAAGCAUAUCGGAUUUGCAGCAUGCACAUUGCACAGUAUGCUCGGCAGUCAUCCCCAACUACUGGCUUCAGCCACCCUUUAAGUUCAGGGUGCCCUGUUCCUGAAGAUCCACCUUUCUAAAAAUGUCAGCCUCAACACACCUGUUUGCAUCAUUAUCAAGUGUUCAUGAAGACCCUCAAGAGCUGGUUCAGAUAGACCUGAGGGUAGAACGACAGUCUCUCUCCAUCACCGACACGACCUUCACGCCAUCUGACGCCAAAUCAAGCACACCUAAUGAACAGAAAUGUUUCUGACAGUCAGCAAACACA